AUUGAACGCUGGCGGCAGGCCUAACACAUGCAAGUCGAAUGGUAACAGGAAACAGCUUGCUGUUUCGCUGACGAGUGGCGGACGGGUGAGUAAUGUCUGGGAAACUGCCUGAUGGAGGGGGAUAACUACUGGAAACGGUAGCUAAUACCGCAUAACGUCGCAAGACCAAAGAGGGGGACCUUCGGGCCUCUUGCCAUUAGAUGUGCCCAGAUGGGAUUAGCUAGUAGGUGGGGUAACGGCUCACCUAGGCGACGAUCCCUAGCUGGUCUGAGAGGAUGACCAGCCACACUGGAACUGAGACACGGUCCAGACUCCUACGGGAGGCAGCAGUGGGGAAUAUUGCACAAAGGGCGCAAGCCUGAUGCAGCCAUGCCGCGUGUAUGAAGAAGGCCUUCGGGUUGUAAAGUACUUUCAGCGGGGAGGAAGGGAGUAAAGUUAAUACCUUUGCUCAUUGACGUUACCCGCAGAAGAAGCACCGGCUAACUCCGUG
rnacentral:rRNA from 1 species